UUCCGCCGUAUCCGCCCGCGGGCGCCUGCAGGAUAAGGACCUGGAAUGUCAGCGUCUCAGGUUAAGGGAUCUAGUUCCACCCCUUCUGCCAGCUCCCGGCAAGAUGGCUGCCUGCUGCCAGGAAGAGCUGCCAAGCUUAGAGCGAAUGGAUGGGAAUCUUCCCCAUAGCGUGGGAGAACUACGCAGGCGCACCAAGGUGUUAAGCCACCCUUGCUUUUCUGGGAUAAGCCCUGCCUGCUUUUGGUAACAGCCUGCAUUUACUGAGCUCUUAUACAUCCAUCAAGAUCCACCCUGAAAUUCACAAUGACCCCCAGCUGCUCUGAGGAGAAGCUGAUCUCAUAGGCCUCCUCUCCAACUUCAGCCUUUGUUCUUCCUCAAUCAGGAAAGAAAAGGGAGAGAGAAACAUCAAUCAUUUGCCUCCUGCUUGCGCCCUGACCGGGGAUCAAACCUGCAACCUAGUUCCACCUCCAGAAUUUAUCAAGAAUCCGACUCCUCUCCAUGUCCACUGCCUCCACCGCCUGGACUACUGCAGUGUCCUCACUGCUUCAGCCCUCACCCCCUCAUGUGUCCUCACAGCAGCCAGUGGGUCCUGUGACAGCCCAAGGGAGCCCAAGGCCCUCCUCUGCUCAGACCCAUGUGUGGCUCCAGCCUUCUUACAGAAAAAAACGAAGUUCUCCCCAUGGCCAGUGAGGCCCCACAGACCAGGCCCCUGUCAGCCCUCCGACCUCAUUUCCUGCCCUUUGCCCCUGGCUCUCUCUGCUCCCGCUGCACCGACCUUGUUCCCUCACACACACCAACCACACUCCCACCUCAGGGCCUUUGUACUUGCUUGCUUUUCCUUCUGCUUGUAAUUCUUUCCCAGGUUUGGGAGAGGCUGACUGAUUUGGCCAGUAAAGAAACCAGUCCUUGUUCCA